AUGAAUGUUUUGGUUGGUUUGUGUGUUUCACCUAGAUUACUGGGCUGUGAUAGAAGCUUUAGACAGAUGGCUGAGGACACCACAGAAGAGAAUGGAAUCUUUCUGAAGGAGGGACCCAUAACCUUUCACCAGGGCAAGAAGUUUCUGCAGAACACGUGCUGGCUUAUUCAGGAAGAUCCUGCUGGGCCUGUUUGGGUGUCCUGGAGGGCAGUGCUUUGGGCCUGGGUCUUCAACUUGCCUUUGGGAUUUUGGUCAUCAGAAGUGAUCCUCAAUUUAAUGCACUUCAAUGGCUGGGAGACCAGGUUCAGGUGGAGGACACAUCUUAAGGACAAGAAGCUUCUAGAAAUGCAAGACCACUUAUUUUGA
rnacentral:lncRNA from 1 species